rnacentral:rRNA from 1 species
UACGGGGGGGAGCAAGCGUUGUUCGGAUUUACUGGGCGUAAAGGGCGCGUAGGCGGCCACCGCAAGUCGGUUGUGAAAUCUCUGGGCUUAACCCAGAAAGGUCAACCGAUACUGCGGGGCUAGAGUGCAGAAGGGGCAACUGGAAUUCUCGGUGUAGCGGUGAAAUGCGUAGAUAUCGAGAGGAACACCUGCGGCGAAGGCGGGUUGCUGGGCUGACACUGACGCUGAUGCGCGAAAGCUAGGGGAGCGAACGGG